rnacentral:rRNA from 1 species
GACCCUAUAGAGUUUAAUAUUUAAUUAAUAAAUUAUUUUUUAGAAUUUAAUAUUAAUUUAUUAAUUAAUUAUUUGAUUGGGGUGAUUGAAAAAUUUAAAUAACUUUUUUUAUAUUAAAACAUUAAUUUAUGAUUAUUUGAUCCAUUAUUUAUGAUUAUAAGAUUAAAUUACCUUAGGGAUAACAGCGUAAUUUUUUUUAAGAGUUCAAAUCGAAAAAAAAGAUUGCGACCUCGAUGUUGGAUUAAAAUUUAUUUUUGGUGUAGAAGCUAAAUCUAUUGGGUCUGUUCGACCUUUAAAAUUUUACAUGAUCUGA